UUUAAAAGUCACACCUUCUCC
rnacentral:piRNA from 1 species